CGCAGCGAAAUGCGAUAAGUAAUGUGAAUUGCAGAAUUUCAGUGAAUCAUCGAAUCUUUGAACGCACAUUGCGCCCGCCAGUAUUCUGGCGGGCAUGCCUGUUUCGAGCGUCAUUUCAACCCNUCAGGCCCCCGGGCCUGGCGUCGGGGCGUUCCCUCGCGGGAAGCCCCCAGAGACAGUGGCGGACCCGCCGCGGCUCCGAGCGCAGUAGUAACAUUCUCGCUCAGGAGGUCCGCGGGGGGAUACCUAGCCGUAAAACCCUCUUACUUCUCAAGGUUGACCUCGGAUCAGGUAGGAAUACCCGCUGAACUUAAGCAUAUCAAUAAGCGGAGGAAAAGAAACCAACAGGGAUUGCCCCAGUAACGGCGAGUGAAGCGGCAACAGCUCAGAUUUGAAAUCUGGUCCUCUGGGCCCGAGUUGUAAUCUGUAGAGGAUGCUUCUGGCAAGGCGCCGUCCGAGUUCCCUGGAACGGGACGCCGGAGAGGGUGAGAGCCCCGUACAGGCGGACGCCGAGCCUCUGUGAAGCUCCUUCGACGAGUCGAGUAGUUUGGGAAUGCUGCUCAAAGCGGGAGGUAAAUUUCUUCUAAAGCUAAAUAUAGGCCAGAGACCGAUAGCGCACAAGUAGAGUGAUCGAAAGAUGAAAAGCACUUUGAAAAGAGAGUUAAAAAGCACGUGAAAUUGUUGAAAGGGAAGCGCCUGUGACCAGACUCGCGCCCGGCGGAUCAUCCGGCGUUCUCGCCGGUGCACUCCGCCGGGCUCGGGCCAGCAUCGGUUUCG
rnacentral:rRNA from 1 species